rnacentral:misc_RNA from 1 species
GAUGAAGAACGCAGCGAACUGCGAUAAGUAAUGUGAAUUGCAGAAUUCAGUGAAUCAUCGAGUCUUUGAACGCACAUUGCGCCCCCUGGUAUUCCGGAGGGCAUGUCUGUCCGAGCGUCAUUAGUCCAAUCUCAAGCCCGGCUUGUCGUUGGGUCGCACCGCCCGGGGCGGUGGACCCGAAAUAUAAUGACGGGGUCUAGCGGACCGUGGGCGCAGCGAGCUUUUACAGCACGCGUCCCGGCGUCAUCUAGACGCGUCUCCAACCAUACUCUCUGUAGGUUGACCUCGGAUCAGACAGGAUUACCCGCUGAACUUAAGCAUAUCAAUAAGCGGAGGA